CCGCGAGGCGCCGCGCGCCCAGUGCCCGCGCCUUUCCGCGCGCCCGCCCGCCCGCGGGUUUGGGUCGGUCGCGCGCCGCUCGCUGAGCAUCCUUCCGGCCGCGCACCUGCCCCGCGCACCUGCCGCCAGCUGCUCUGCGCUCGGCUCGGCGCUCACGAUCCGCUUGCUCUGGCCGGUCCCGGCCCUGCCUGCGUGUCCUCCCCGUGCCGCAGCCGGGCCCGGGCUCAGCGCUGCGGAGGGCGAGGGCAGCCCGGAGCGCGGCCCGGGCCGGCGCGGCGAUGAUGAACAGGUUCCGAAAGUGGCUGUACAAACCCAAGAGGUCAGACCCACAGCUGCUGGCCCAGUUCUACUACGCCGAUGAGGAGCUGAACCAGGUGGCUGCAGAACUGGACAGCCUGGAUGGGCGGAAGGAACCCCAGCGCUGCACGCUGCUUGUCAGCCAGUUCCGCUCCUGCCAGGACAAUGUGUUAAACAUCAUUAAUCAGAUCAUGGAGGAGUGCAUCCCUCAGGACCGCGCCCCUCGGGAUUUCUGCGUCAAGUUUCCUGAGGAGAUCCGGCAUGACAACUUGGCUGGCCAGUUGUGGUUCGGGGCUGAGUGCCUGGCUGCUGGCUCCAUCAUCAUGAAUCGUGAGCUCGAGAGCAUGGCUAUGCGGCCCCUGGCCAAGGAGCUGACUCGCAGCCUGGAGGAUGUGCGGGGCACUCUCCGUGACCAGGCACUACGAGACCUCAACACCUACACGGAGAAGAUGCGGGAGGCACUGAGGCAUUUUGAUGUUCUAUUUGCUGAGUUCGAGCUCAGCUAUGUCUCGGCCAUGGUGCCUGUGAAGUCCCCCCGAGAGUACUAUGUACAGCAGGAGGUCAUCGUGCUGUUCUGCGAGACAGUGGAGAGAGCCUUGGAUUUCGGGUAUCUGACCCAGGACAUGAUUGAUGACUACGAACCUGCCCUCAUGUUCACCAUUCCUCGGCUGGCCAUUGUGUGUGGCCUUGUGGUCUAUGCAGAUGGACCCCUGAACUUGGACCGAAAGGUGGAGGACAUGUCUGAGCUGUUCCGGCCCUUCCACACGUUGCUGCGGAAAAUAAGGGAUCUGCUGCAGGCGCUGACCGAGGAGGAGCUGCACACACUGGAGCGGAGCCUCUGCGUGUCUCAGGAUGUGGAGCUCCCGAUCCGGGCAGACGCCCAGGCACCCAGUGCCCUGGCACCUACCUUUUCUGCAUCCCUUCCCCCCGAGGAGCCACUUUCAGCCAGUGCCAGCAACCCAGAGGCAGAACUGGCCUGCUCAAUGCAGUACGAUGAUCAGGAGUUGGAGGAGCUCAGCCGCAUGGUCCACAGGGCUGGAGACGAGAUGUCAUCUCUGCUUUCACCGCCCAGUGCCUGCCAGUCCCCAGCACAUAGGCCAGGCACAGAGGCCAGCGCCCGCGCGGAAGCCUCUCCAGCCAGAGCCCAGCUGAAAUCAAGCAGUGAUGAGGAGGAGAGGGUAUUCUUCAUGGAUGAUGUGGAGGUGACAGAGUCUUCUGCCAGGUCGGAAUCCCCAGGGGGUACAUUUGAGUUGACAGGUAGCAUGGAGGGCAAUGUUCCGCAGAGAAUACAAGAUAGCCCGAGUGGAGAGGUGGAGGUCAGUGCACCUUCCCUGGUAAAGGAGGAAGACCGGAGCAACAACAACAUUGAGGAUGACAAGAUAAAGCUGGCCAGCCUUGUGGGCUCCACUUCCUGCAGCUGUCUGGACUCACAGCUCUACCUGGAUGGCUGGGAGGUGAGUGCAGACGAUGCCGAGACAGCCGAGAUGAUUGCACACCGGACCGGGGGCAUGAAACUUUCGGCCACAGUCAUCUUCAAUCCCAAGUCUCCCACCUCCUUGGACUCUGCCGGGGCAACCCAAGAAGCCACAGGCCAUGGUAUUUCCCCGUUGGAGCCCAGGGCAGAGGGGACAGGGGACAAUUCACACAAACUCGGCGCUGCAGCCACCACCUGCCUCCUCCACUCCUGUGUGUGCUGUGGGAGCUGUGGGGACAGCAGGGAGGAUGCGGUGGAGCACCUGCGGGAGAAGUGUGGUCCAGGAAGCAUCAUCAGUGCCUCUAACCCUUCUGUAAGCUUAGCCAAGGCUGGUGACAAAGAGCCUGAGAGACUAGAUGAAGCCUGGCCUUCUCCUGAUGUCACCCUGCCUGCAGAAGAUGCCUCCAAUGGGCAGGAGCCCAAAGCCCCUGCUUCCAACAAGUGCCUGGCACACACCUCAGGGCCUCAGGUGGACACAGCAAGCAGGUUGCAAGGAGAGGGUGAGGUCAAAGGCCAGCCAGAGCCAGAGACCAGAAAUCAGGACCCUGAGAAGUCCUCUGUGGUCAGGGAGGACAGUACAGGAGAAGCCCAACACCUGUCAGGCUCCAGGUAAGGGCUGAUUCUGUUCUAGGGACCAGACUUCUCGCAUUUAGGACAUGUCCUGGCUGGUUCUCAAAGCACUGAGAUGCUUCCUCUUCGAGUUUCUUGGCCAUCAAACAGGUUCUGGACCCAGGGCAGGUAUGUGAUUGAUGUCUGAAAGGAUGAGGUAUGGACUGCCCCUGAAGGUACCCAUCCUGGAGGUACCCAUCCUAUACUAAGUUAAGCUGCCUACCAAUGAUCUCCAGGGGGCAUCUUUCAGGUAAUGUUGGUGCGGGGCCACUCCCUACAUCUUGGUAGCUCAUUCUAAGCCUGGAAUAGCCCAUGGUAAACUGCAGUAGUAAGUGGGCACAGGUGGGUGCUAACCACACAGCCUCCUGAUCUUUGCCAUCACCAUACCUGCUGGGCUCACACAGCUGAAAAGAAAUUCACAGAAACCCUGACUAUACAGAGCCAUGCUGAGCUCUUGAGGCUACCCUUGGGCAAAUUCUUGGGCAGUAUCCCAUGAUCCCGGCCCUUCUUCAACUCUGUGUUCUCCCUGCUCCAUGUGGCUCUUCCCUCCCUAGGAGAUCCCUCCCUGCUGUUGUGUGGUGGUGUCGGUGCGGGAGAGGCUUUGGGUUUCUAGAGUAGACAUGUUCUUUAGAACUGAGACUUCCGUCUUUGCCUCUCACCUGAGUGUUCUGUCCAUAGCAGAAUUUCACAAGCAUCACUGAUGUUGGCUCUAUGGUCUACUUUGUCUUUAAUGUUGUGAGGAGGAAGAGGAGGGGCAAAGAAGCCAGCCCAGCCUGAGUGACUCAUACAUUGUCAUGAUGUCUUCAGAACCCUGCCUUAUGGAGACCUCCCCGGACAAGGGAGGGAGGACAGGAGAGGAAGGGUCUCCUCCACCUAGAGGUCCUGGAAUCCAGCACAGAUGGGUGUGUACAGGUUGGGACAAAGCAAAGGACAAGGUAGGGCACAGGUGUAGAAGGAAGGUACUCUCAUACCAGGGGGCAGAAGCUUCUGGGCCAUGGGCAGAUGCCUCCUUCCUCAUCCCUUCUUGUGCAUCCAGUGGUCACCACAUUCGCUGGAAGCAUGUGGGGAAGAGCUGGUCAGGCUCUUGUGUCUGUCAUAAAUCCGAAGGUUCUCUCACUCACCCCAUAGCUCUUUGCUCUGCUAUUGGCUGUGGGACUGGACUGUAACUUCUGUGGUCAGGAGAAGCCACUGGGCAGAAGCUCCUAGCCUGCCUACUCCCUAGCCACUGGCAACCUCUGAUCUGCUUUUGGCAUCUGUGAUCUUCAGACUGUGGACAUUGAGAACAAGUCACACAGUGCAGGCCCUUCAUGUCCCUCAUCUUUCCCUGCGCAGGGUUUUCAAGGGUCAUCUACACUGCAGCUAGAGUAGCCACAUCACUCCUUUCUACAACUGUGUCGCCCUCACUGUGCAGAGUGGCCAUGCUGUCACCCCCUUCACAGCUGAUGGAUGUGUAGGGUGUUUCUUGGCUGUCAAGAACAAAUGUUGCUAUGAAAUUAUUUUUCCAGUUUUGUGUGGACCUGUGUUUUCAUUAUUUUGGGUCUCUAAGAGUAGAACAUGUGGGUCAUAUAGCAACUGGCUGUUUUCCACAUACCUGAGGUUACAUACAUCCUACAAGUGUUUAUAUGAGGCGUUCAGCUUCUUCACAUUGUCUAUGAUUUUUAGUAAUAUUCUACCCUUAGGGCACAAUCCAUUAGUAUGUAGUCAAUUGUCUUGUCAGGUGCACACCUGUAAUUUCAGCCCUUCAAGAGUUGGGACAGGAGAAUGGCAAAUUUGAAGCCAGCUUGGGCUACAGAGUAAGAAUUUGUCUCAAAACCAAACCAAACAAAAAAGAACCAAAGUUACUUGAAAUUGUUUAACUUUGCAUUAAGUUUAUAGAAACUACCACUUAUAUUUAGCUCAGUUUUAUAAUUACAUAGAGUAUGUGCAUGCUUUUUAGACAAAUCUAAACAAAUCAGAUGUAAAGAAGUCUGUCUAGAGGGACUUUGCUCUCUCUUGUGUCUAAAGGGAAUGGAGGUUAAAGUUUCAUGGCCCAGAGGUGGACUUCAGUAUUCAUGCUCCUGAUGUUAGGCAGAUGGCUCUGACCUCCAUACCCCCUUCUCCACCUUGCUUCCUGACCCCUAGUCCAAAGCCUUCCCAGAACUCUUUGGAGACACCCCCACUUUCCUUUACUGAAAAGUCAGGCUGUGAUGUCUACAGAGCGACAUCCACACUCCAGCUGUUGUAGAUGGUGCCACUGUGGACAGCUGCUGCAGAGAGCUCUCCUGUUCCAUAAAGCCUUUCUCGGAGGCAGCCCCAGCUUCGCGGCCAUGUCAAGUGGAAUGAAUUAACUUCCCAAAGGCUGCCAAUAGCUACUUUGAGGCCUCUGGCUCAGUUUAUUGGUAACAGCCAGCAAACAUCUACCAUCUGGAAGCUUCUCUCACCCUGGGAAGGGCCCUUCACAACAUGCCUCUGCAUUUAGGCCCAGCCCAGCUCAGCACACACUUAAAACUCAGCUAUGAAAAGGUGAGAAAACCCACCUCGUGGCUCAGAAGACCUCCCACCUUCCAGGAAGCCUGUUUAGAAGAUACAAAGGGUUUGAAGAGCAAGCAUUUGGCAGGAGGCCAGGACCUCAGACAGCCAUAUGUUGGCCCAGCACUGUGCUUUAGGGAGCUGGAAGAGGUCAGCCUACAGCUACCUGUCUGUCACUCCUGUCCCAGCACUGGCAGAACUGGCAUGGGAGCAUCGGUCAUGUGUUCCGUGUCAUGAGCACAUUUCUCAGGUCAAGCCACGUGCCGGAACCUACCCAAGAACCAGAUGGAUGUGGCAGGUCCUUCAGGCCUACAAGGAGAUGAUACAGCAGUGUGUUUUCAAACAGAGGCAAGAGGCUGGCCACACACAGGCAGAACAUUUGCUGAAAUGCAGAGGGAGACAUCAGGAGGUCUGGCUAGUGGGACAACGUUGUGACAAAGCUUUCUCAUGACACACGUUGUCUCAUGCACGGGGUGGUCUAUUAGUCAGGGUUCUCUAAAGGAACAGAACCGAGAGGAGAUAUCUAUAUCUCUAUAUAUGGAUUUAUUAGGUUGACUUAGAGGAUGCAGUCUGAGUACUGCAGCAAUGGCUGUCUCAUGCUGGUAAGGCUGAGAACCUGGUAGUUGUUCAGUCCAUAGGUUGGAUGUCUCAGCAGUCCCAGUUUGGGACUGUAGUCUUGGAGGGUUCCUGGGGAACUGCUGAUCUUCAGUCCACAUUGCAAUCCUGAAGAAGCUAGUUCUAAUAUGGUUGAGGGAAUGCCUCGGCAACAGGAUAGAUGACCAGUGAGAGUGAGGACAAGCAGGCAGAAAGCAAAAUUUCCUUCUCUGUUCUUCUGUGUGGGCUGCAACCAGGUGUCGCCCACAUUUAGUGUGGGCUAUCCUGCUUCAAAUAACUUGACAAGGAAAAUCCCUCACAGCAUCUUGGGUUUCAGUUGCAUUCCAUAUGCAGUUAAGUUGACAGUCAAGAUUAUCCAUCACAAGUGGGUCAUGAUUCUCCUCUACUUCUGCAUCUGGGAGACAAACUUAGAUGCUAAUGUCUGCCUCUCCCUGGUAUCCCUGAAAAGGACAGUUGCCUUCACUCUCUGCAAGCAGCAGGAUCCGUUUCACUGCUGUUAUAAUUUGAUCAUGGGAUUCACCCAUCAUCCGGCAGGUGUCCCUGUACCUCCUGUGGCAUGUGGCGUGGAAAGUCUAAUGAACUGUGGGUAGGCCCUAUGCUCACAGGCUUCUGUCCCAUGUGUGAGCCUUACCUCUCUGUGCUAUAAAUGGGAAGGAAGCAGGAAGUUGUUGCAAGAGGCCUGCCUUCAAGGCUGGAGUCGUCCCCCAUUUCCCUGGGGUCUGUGUGGCUAGUCAGCUAGAAGAUGGCCACCAGAGGGAAGGAGAGUUGCCCCUGUCAGGGGACAUGCUGGAAGCAGAUGGGCUUAAGGCUGAGAGAGUGCGCCCUACUGGAGAAGCCCCUUCCCAGGUGGUCUUCUGGUCCUGGCUGAUAUUGUCAGCGCCAUCACCCAAGGGUGGCAGGACAUUUUCAUGUACUGACCCUGCUGAAUGAAUGUUCUAGAACCUGUGUUCUUUAGUUCUUUGCUUUCUGCUGGCUUCUUUCCUAUCUGUUCAGUGGUCAGAGAUGAACCUUUUUUGAGGAAAGUUGACUUUAUUUAUUAUUUAUUUAUUUAGUU